rnacentral:rRNA from 1 species
UACGAAGGUCCCGAGCGUUAUCCGGAUUUAUUGGGUUUAAAGGGUGCGUAGGCGGGUUAUUAAGUCAGUGGUGAAAGCCUACAGCUUAACUGUAGAAUUGCCAUUGAUACUGAUGAUCUUGAGUAUGAUUGAGGUGGGCGGAAUGUGUCAUGUAGCGGUGAAAUGCUUAGAUAUGACAUAGAACACCGAUAGCGAAGGCAGCUUGCUACACAAUCAUUGACACUGAGGCACGAAAGCGUGGGGAUCAAACAGG